rnacentral:rRNA from 1 species
AGAUUGAACGCUGGCGGCAGGCCUAACACAUGCAAGUCGAGCGGCAGCACGGGUACUUGUACCUGGUGGCGAGCGGCGGACGGGUGAGUAAUGCCUAGGAAUCUGCCUGAUAGUGGGGGAUAACGCUCGGAAACGGACGCUAAUACCGCAUACGUCCUACGGGAGAAGCAGGGGACCUUCGGCCUUGCGCUAUCAGAUGAGCCGUAGGUCGGAUUAGCUAGGUUGGGUGGGUAAUGGCUCACCGAAGGCGACGAUCCGUAACUGGUCUGAGAGGAUGAUCGAGUCACUACGUGGAACUGAGAC